GAAAAUCAAUCAUUUCGAUGGAUUCGAAUUCUCAUCGCUCUGAUCAAAAGAAAAUAUUCUGGAUAUUCAGAUGAAUCUUUCAAUUAAUGAUCGUAACUUGGGAAUAAUGAAAAUCAUAGAUGAACACAACAUUCUGGAUGAAUGUGCACGAUCGCCGAAUGAUCAAUCAGUCAAAGUCAAUCUGGCUAUCUCAACUUUUCGUCAUCAUCAUCAUUUACGAGAAUAUGGAUAACUGAGUAAAGACCCUUGAAAUAAAUGCAUCCAUUGGAUUAUCAAAAUUCUCUGGCUUCAUUUUAUAAUUUAUCUCAAAAAUUCGACCGUUUCAUCAAUUUGUGGCUUUUAAUUUGAAUUUGAAUUUGUAUUUUUUAUUUUAUCUUCUUAUAAUAAUAAAGUAUGCGGCCUCCA